rnacentral:rRNA from 1 species
GACGAACGCUGGCGGCAGGGCCUAAUACAUGCAAGCCGAAGGAGAAGCCUAUUUCGGUAGGUGGAGACUGGCGGACGGGUGAGUAACGCGUGGGAAUAUGCCCAAUGGUACGGAAUAACAUAUGGAAACGUAUGCUAAUACCGUAUGUGCCCUUCGGGGGAAAGAUUUAUCGCCAUUGGAUUAGCCCGCGUUAGAUUAGGUAGUUGGUGAGGUAAAGGCUCACCAAGCCUACGAUCUAUAGCUGUUCUGAGAGGAAGAUCAGCCACACUGGGACUGAGACACGGCCCAG